UACGAAGGGGGCUAGCGUUGCUCGGAAUGACUGGGCGUAAAGGGCGCGUAGGCGGAUGGCACAGUCAGAUGUGAAAUUCCCGGGCUUAACCUGGGGGCUGCAUUUGAUACGUGUUGUCUUGAGUUCGGAAGAGGGUCGUGGAAUUCCCAGUGUAGAGGUGAAAUUCGUAGAUAUUGGGAAGAACACCGGUGGCGAAGGCGGCGACCUGGUCCGACACUGACGCUGAGGCACGAAAGCUAGGGGAGCAAACAGG
rnacentral:rRNA from 1 species